ensembl:lncRNA
CUGCCUCCUGAACUCUGUCUUCUGUAGGACAUGAACUUCUCAUUAACUAAGAAGUCCUGAUAGCACUGCCAAUCCCAUGUGACAGUGGACCUCAUUCAAGAACGUCUCCUCAGGCUACUGAAAAUAUUAAAGAUUUUCAGAGAAAGGAAAAGAUUCUGGAAGGAACAGAUAUCGGGGAGAAUGAGAGAAAGGAGAUGUGUUCUGAAGCACUGCCAAACCGGAGUCUCCCAAGUGACUACCUGCUGAUCAGAUUUCUAAAUGUCUGGUAUAUCUUGGUGACCUGUGGAGUUGAAGACAGUAUUUUGAUCAACAGUUUGUGCAUAUAUGUUGCAAAGUUUGGACAGCCAUGCGUAUUGUUAGUAUUCUGUCUGUCUCUACAUGGACAUGCUCACAUGAACAACAACAAAGAACCCAAGCUAAAUGUUCCUUUGCAACAAUUUAAACAUUAUUAAUGGUGAGUUCCAGAGAUGCUGCAUUCAGCAAUGAGCUUACACAGUAUUGACUUGAG